GACGAACGCUGGCGGCGUGCCUAACACAUGCAAGUCGAACGGAAAGGCCCUUUCGGGGCUCCACUAGUGGCGCAGGGGGGCGUAUCACGUGGAUGAUCUUCCCUGCACUUUGGGAUUAGCCUGGGUAACUGGGUCCAAUACCGGAAAGGACUACGCGAUGGAUGUCGUGUGGUGGAAAGCUGUUGCGGUGUGGGAUGGGCCUGCGGCCUAUCAGCUUGUUGGUGGGGUGAUGGCCUACCAAGGCGACGACGGGUAGCCGGCCUGAGAGGGUGGCCGGCCACACUACGACUGAGGGACGGAGCAGACUCCAAUGGUAGGCAGAGGUCGAGAACAUUACACAGCGAGCGCGAGUGUGAUGCAGCGACGUCGCGUGGGUGAAGCCCUCCUACUGGGUGUAAACCCCUGUCAGCACAGACGUAGCGUAAUUGACGGUAUGUACAGAAGAAGCACCGGCUAACUACGUG
rnacentral:rRNA from 1 species